rnacentral:rRNA from 1 species
UGACGGUACUUGACUAAGAAGCUCCGGCUAAAUACGUGCCAGCAGCCGCGGUAAUACGUAUGGAGCAAGCGUUAUCCGGAUUUACUGGGUGUAAAGGGAGCGUAGACGGCAAAGCAAGUCUGAAGUGAAAUCCCGGGGCUCAACCCCGGAACUGCUUUGGAAACUGUUUAGCUGGAGUGCAGGAGAGGUAAGCGGAAUUCCUAGUGUAGCGGUGAAAUGCGUAGAUAUUAGGAGGAACACCGGUGGCGAAGGCGGCUUACUGGACUGAAACUGACACUGAGGCACGAAAGCGUGGGGAGCAAACAGGAUUAGAUACCCUG